AUUUCAUACAUAGUGUUGAGAGAAUGAUGGCUUGAUAGACAAGAUGUUUGGUGUCUGUUCAAAUAUCAUGAUCUUCAAAAACCCUGUGCCGUAAACGAGCAAAGGCUGCACUGGCACAGCUCAGACGAUGUUGGAUUUCUACAUCAAUAUCUGCCCUUGAUGACAGAUAACUUCUGAAGUAGAGAAAAUGAUCGACGUUCUCCAGUGCCUCUCCAUUGAUUUUAAAAGAUGGGGCGCAUUGUACCUCAUUUGGAGAGGGCUGAUGGAGCACUUUGAUUUUCUUGAUGUUGAGAGUGAGACCAAGACGUACAUAAGCAUCAGCAAACACAUUCAAGAGAGCCUGAAGAUCUUUCUCAGAGUGGGCAAAAACUGCAUUGUCAUCAGCAUACUGAAGUUCCAUGAUAGAUGUGGUGGAAAUCUUACUCUUAGUUUUCAGCCUGCUAAGCCCAAACAGCUUUCUAGCCAUUCUGACGAUGAUUUCAAUGCCAGCGGGGAGGUUCCCAGCAAUUAAGUGGAAAAUGGCUGCAAUAAAGACUUCAAAGAUGGUUGCACUGAUGAUACAGUCCUGUUUGACUCCUUUUUGUACUUUGAAAGGUACAAAGGAGCCAGUGCUGGGAGCCUGUGCUGCUCCGAACAGUCGCUUUUAUGUUGUCAUGAAGCAACUUUAGGACACUGAUGUAUUUAUCAGGACAUCCAAUCUUUGAAAGUACCGUCCAAAGGGCACAGCAAUUCACUAAGUCAAAGGCUUUAGUUAGAUCAAUAAAAGCCAUGUAGAGUGGUCAGUUUUGCUCCCGACUUCUCUUGCAAUUGCUGUGCAAUGAAGAUCAUAUCAUAUCCUAUGAUUUCUGAACACAAGGACUAGUUGGCUGUUAGUACUGCAAGCCCCACAGACAUUCCAAAGUAGGGAGGGCAGGGACGGAGCCAAAGACUGGUCCCUCACUUCACGCUAGCUGACAGACUGAAACUGACUCUGGGGAAGAGUGGGGAAAACACACAACCAGAUCUGGCUAGAAAAGGGGAUUUAUUCAUGUCGAGAAAAUUGAUUAAAAAAAAAGAACAUAUCUGCAGUUUGGAUUUUUGUUUAUUUGAUGAAAAGGCGACAUGCUCUGUGGACAGUAGCCACUAUCCAGACAAAUGUUCGAUUUAUCCAAAAUCCAUUUUUUUUUUGCAGAAAAACAGUUCUGACCGUCCAUUUUCUAUCAAUCCUUUAAGCAACACAUUCAAAAGGGCCACUUCCGAAUAUACUUCCCUAAGUGACAGUGGAAAGAGUCUGCCUAUAUCCUUUUCAGGCAGUGCCUUCUGGAACGAUCACUGGAAGUCUCUUCUUGCACUUUCCUUACAUGUGGUCUGACUGAUUAUAAAAGCCAGAAUACUGCCCUGAGUUUCCCUGUAAAACAAACAAGAUAUAUUCCAAGAGUCCUCACAUGGCAGAGGAAUGCCAACAAAACCACCGUAUUUGCAAUAAUAACUUUCCUGUUAUGUAUAAUAACGACAGUAAUAUGAUGCAUUAUGUUGAGCUAUGCUAUACAGCCGCUAUAACUGUUAGUAUCCACAAUAAACAAAGAGCUAGUGUCUGUGCAGAGAAGGAGGCCAAUUCAUAACAAAGUUGCAUGCACCACUAACAUAGAGGUUUUGUGCACUUUACUAUGGGGUAGGUUGGACAUAGCAUGUGGGAUUUUGAGCCCACGGAAAUUCGAUCAGUUCCACCAAACUUCCAGCAGAACCUGGUUUUCAAUUUUGUUCCGAUAAAGACAUGGUUUCUUUAAGAGUAACUGGUAAUAGGCAGCUUGAAUGAUUAUCUUGUUGUUCUACUAACCUCUGAGAUUAUAGUAGAUGACACAGUCUAUAGGGGUAUGGGAGGCUAUGCAGGAGGUGUAUUCAGUAAAGAUACUAGAAAGCAAUGCAAGACAGGAAAAAUGUCUUACAUGUGGCUGGUAUGCAGGCAUGGAGCAGAGAUACCAAAAGAUGAGAGACAUGAAGGCCUGGAGAGAAAUGGUCCUGCAUGGUCUAGGAAGAACUACAAAUCUGAGGGAAGAAGACUUCCAGACACCUAUGGGCCAGAAUGGAUCUCUGACCUGAACAGAAAGGAGUUAUCAUUAAAGAGUUGCACUUUCGUAGCAUGAUUACAUUUUCACAUGCACUUCAAAAAAGACCACUCAUUAGAAGUCAACUUUACCAUGUAUUACAUAUCCACCUAUCACACAAACGCAACCUUAACCACACCCACCCACGCUGUCGGUGAGUGCCAGCAGAAGCCAGAACACUCCUGCCAUACACAAUAUGUUAUCUCCACAGGCCUAUAGUCUCAACCACGUUGGGCUGCUUUAAUACCGGGACAUCUGAUCACUGUACCUCUAAGGCUUUGUCUACAUUGCAGGGUUUUUAUGCAAGAAGCCUUUUGUGGAAGAGUUCUUGCACAACAGUGUGCCCAGACCUCAAGGCGCAUCACAAAAGUGAUGGGCUUUUGCACAAGAGAGCAUCCACACUGCAUGGACACUCUUGCACAAGAAAGUGCCAGGUUUGAGAUUAGAUCCCAUCUCUUUACCAGUUACAAACAACAUCUUAGGUCACUAACAUUCAAGACCUUGGAAUGUGGCACGUUGCCACCAUACAACCAACUGUAUAGGUGUUUUUUGUUGUGGUGUGCCAUGCCACCUUGCACAAAAUAGAAUGGUUUAACACAAGGUAUUCAUUGCUUUUCUAAUGGAAAACCAGUGUCAUUGCUAUUAAAAUGCUGCAUGUCGUGA